GACGAACGCUGGCGGCGUGCCUAACACAUGCAAGUUGAGCGACGAACCAGGGCUUGCCCUGGGGCAAAGCAGCGAACGGGUGAGUAACACGUGGGUAACCUACCCCGAUAACCGGGACAACCCGAGGAAACUCGGGCUAAUACCGGAUGUGCUCACUGGACUUCGGUUCAGUGCGUAAAGGAAGCUUCGGCCUCCGUAUCGGGAGGGGCCCGCGGCCCAUUAGUUUGUUGGUGAGGUAACGGCUCACCAAGACCGCGAUGGGUAGCUGGUCUGAGAGGACGAUCAGCCACACUGGGACUGAGACACGGCCCAGACUCCUACGGGAGACAGCAGUGGGGAAUCUUGCGCAAUGCGCGAAAGCGUGACGCAGCAACGCCGCGUGGGGGAAGAAGGCCUUCGGGUUGUAAACCCCUGUCAGGAGGGACGAAGGUUCGGCGGUGAAUAGCCGUCCGGACUGACGGUACCUCCACAAGAAGCCCCGGCUAACUACGUG
rnacentral:rRNA from 1 species